UCCGUAGGUGAACCUGCGGAAGGAUCAUUACCUAGAGUUGUAGGCUUUGCCUGCUAUCUCUUACCCAUGUCUUUUGAGUACUUACGUUUCCUCGGCGGGUCCGCCCGCCGAUUGGACAAUUUAAACCAUUUGCAGUUGCAAUCAGCGUCUGAAAAACUUUAAUAGUUACAACUUUCAACAACGGAUCUCUUGGUUCUGGCAUCGAUGAAGAACGCAGCGAAAUGCGAUAAGUAGUGUGAAUUGCAGAAUUCAGUGAAUCAUCGAAUCUUUGAACGCACAUUGCGCCCCUUGGUAUUCCAUGGGGCAUGCCUGUUCGAGCGUCAUUUGUACCUUCAAGCUUUGCUUGGUGUUGGGUGUUUGUCUCGCCUCUGCGUGUAGACUCGCCUUAAAACAAUUGGCAGCCGGCGUAUUGAUUUCGGAGCGCAGUACAUCUCGCGCUUUGCACUCAUAACGACGACGUCCAAAAGUACAUUUUUACACUCUUGACCUCGGAUCAGGUAGGGAUACCCGCUGAACUUAAGCAUAUAAUAAGCGGAGGGAAGUCGGACUGGCCAAGGGCAC
rnacentral:rRNA from 1 species